rnacentral:rRNA from 1 species
UACAGAGGGUGCAAGCGUUGUUCGGAAUUAUUGGGCGUAAAGGGCGCGUAGGCGGUGCGGUAAGUCUGCAGUGAAAUCUCUGGGCUCAACUCAGAGUCUGCUGUAGAAACUGCCGUGCUUGAGUGUGGGAGAGGUGAGUGGAAUUCCCGGUGUAGCGGUGAAAUGCGUAGAUAUUGGAAAGACCACCAAUGGCGAAGGCACUCUACUGGGCCAUUACUGACACUGAGAGACGAAAGCUAGGGGGAGCAAAUGGG